rnacentral:rRNA from 1 species
CCUACGGUGGGCAGCAGUGAGGAAUAUUGGUCAAUGGGCGGAAGCCUGAACCAGCCAAGUAGCGUGCAGGAUGACGGCCCUACGGGUUGUCAAUUGCUUUUAUACGGGAAUAACGCGCCUUACGUGUAGGGCUUUGCACGUCCCGUAUGAAUAAGGACCGGCUAAUUCCGUGCCAGCAGCCGCGGUAAUACGGAGGGUCCUGGCGUUAGCCGGAUUUAUUGGGUUUAAAGGGAGCGUAGUCCGCCUGCCAAGCGUGCCGUGAAAUGUCCGGGCUCAACCCGGGCCUUGCAGCGCGAACUGGCGUGCUUGAGUCCGCGGAAAGCAGGCGGAAUUCGUCGUGUAGCGGUGAAAUGCUUAGAUAUGACGAAGAACCCCGAUUGCGAAGGCAGCUUGCUGCAGCGGAACUGACGCUGAUGCUCGAAAGCGCGGGUAUCGAACAGGAUUAGAUACCCCUGUAGUC